CGCCGCCACCUGCCAUCCUCAUCUACCCCCGAGCUGGCUCCUGCUGGCAUCUUUAUAUAUUCAUUCUGUUUCCAAAACCUCCCUCCAAGAAGCUACACGUCCAAUUGCAUUUCCCUUUUCUGCAAAAAGUUAAGUACACAGCAAUUGCUACAUGCUUUAGAGGUUUGCUUUACCGGGAAAGUGCUGCAAACUGGCCCCCAAUAAGGAAAUCAGAGUGAGUCACUUGGAGCUCUUGGCCUUUACACUUCAGGCUAUUAAAUCCAAAAUCCUAAGGAGUCCAACCCAGGUCCAAGAAGAGGAGCCUGAGGAGGUCCUUCCUAAAUGUUAAGGCACCUAGAAACAUUAGCCAAACAGAGUCUUGCUCUGUCACCCAGGCUGGAGUACAGUGGCAUGAUCUCGGCUCACUGCAACCUAUGCCUCCCAGGUUCAACCAAUUCUCCUGCCUCAGGCUCCCGAGUAGCUGGGACUACAGGUGCACACCACCAGGCCCGGGAAAAGAAAAAGACUGGCCUGAGGCGGAAAUAGAAGACACAAUAAAUCCUUCUGUGAACUCUUGCCAACCAUAUUUCUCCUUACUUCUGUCAACCCAUCCAUCAUGGAGCAAAUGUUCAGAGGACAGAAUAUGAACUUGUUUGGGGGUUGUUUUUCUCCAAUUGCCACAUUUUCUAGUUUGGAUCCCAGGCCUCAAACCCCAACCAUCAUAGGAAUGGUGCACUCAGUCAGAAGAAAGGCCUCUGGUGAAGAAACUCUCUGGGCACUUGGGAAUAAAGGAUCAAGGCUGCAGCCCAGGCCACGGCUGCAGGGCAAGCUGAGCCUCAGUCUGAAGCCACGUCUGAGUUUCCUUUCAGUGAGCAUCCUCUCAACCUCUUCAUCUAAUAAAUGUUUAUCAGGUGACAUUAUCAAACACUUGCCAUGUGAUGUUCAAAAUAGUUCAGAACGGCAAGACAUGGGCAUGGCACCAGCGCCAGU
rnacentral:lncRNA from 1 species